rnacentral:rRNA from 1 species
AACGAACGCUGGCGGCAGGCCUAACACAUGCAAGUCGAACGCCCCGCAAGGGGAGUGGCAGACGGGUGAGUAACGCGUGGGAACCUACCUUACGGUCGGGAAUAGCUCAGGGAAACUUGAGGUAAUACCGGAUACGCCCUUACGGGGAAAGAUUUAUCGCCGUUAGAUGGGCCCGCGUCGGAUUAGCUAGUUGGUGAGGUAACGGCUCACCAAGGCGACGAUCCGUAGCUGGUCUGAGAGGAUGANCAGCCACACUGGAACUNAGACACGGCCCAGACUCCUACGGGAGGCAGCAGUGGGGAAUAUUGGACAAUGGGCGCAAGCCUGAUCCAGCCAUG